GAUGAACGCUGGCGGCGUGCCUAAUACAUGCAAGUCGAGCGAACAGAUGAGGAGCUUGCUCCUCUGACGUUAGCGGCGGACGGGUGAGUAAAACGUGGGUAACCUACCUAUAAGACUGGGAUAACUUCGGGAAACCGGAGCUAAUACCGGAUAAUAUAUUGAACCGCAUGGUUCAAUAGUGAAAGACGGUUUUGCUGUCACUUAUAGAUGGAUCCGCGCCGCAUUAGCUAGUUGGUAAGGUAACGGCUUACCAAGGCAACGAUGCGUAGCCGACCUGAGAGGGUGAUCGGCCACACUGGAACUGAGACACGGUCCAGACUCCUACGGGAGGCAGCAGUAGGGAAUCUUCCGCAAUGGGCGAAAGCCUGACGGAGCAACGCCGCGUGAGUGAUGAAGGUCUUCGGAUCGUAAAACUCUGUUAUUAGGGAAGAACAAAUGUGUAAGUAACUAUGCACGUCUUGACGGUACCUAAUCAGAAAGCCACGGCUAACUACGUG
rnacentral:rRNA from 1 species